AACUCAGGAGCUGAGAGUCUCUCUGAGGGUUUGCUAACUGUAAAUACCUGGAAGGAUUUGCUGCCAAAUACUUGAUGGAGUUCCUGUACCUGUCCUUGUUGUUGAUAUCUGUGUUUCCCUUGGAAGAUCUUUGAACCUGAAGCUAGCCUGAAACAACAUCCAGUCAUCAGUAGCAGUCAGAAGACUUAAUGAUUCUUCAAAUUAUUUAGUCAAUGACAAACCAGAAAAAAAGUGACUUCAUCUCAAUCAAAGUGGAUGGGGUGAUGAAGAAAUGGAAGCAAACAGAGGUGAAGUGAUUUAUCCAAGGUCACACGCAGUAAGUGCCUGAAGUGAGAUUUGAAUUCUGGCCUUCCUAACAAUCUAAUUCCUAGGUUUGAGGUCUCAUUAUCCAUACCCAUACAUGACAACUAAUCAACUGACAAACAUGUUUUAAUUUUUUCUCAAGAAUCUAUGUCACAUGGAACCAUGUUGGUGAACCUAUGGCAGAUGUACCAGAUGGGGUUGCUCUCCUCCCCUUCUCCACAUGUGCCUGAGGAUAUUUCUCACAUCACCCACCCCUCUGCCCAGCAGUCAAAUAGUAGAGCUCCUUCCUUCCCCUGUCUGGGGUAAGGUGGGGGAGGUGGAACUCAUAUGCCAUUGUACCUUGAGCACUUUGUCUCUAAAAGAUUUGCCAUCACUGACAUAGAGUAUAAAAGAGGUAAUGGCAAGUGGGGGAAGAAUGGGAUGGAAAGAAAGUGUUCUGAAAAGAGUAGCAUUUGUGUUAUGUCUAGAAGCAAACCAAGGGAUUCUAAGCUGAAAAAAUGAAAACAGAGAGCAUUUCAGAUAUGGCAGACAAGUUGGACAAAGUUGGACAAAAACAUAGAGGCAAGGAAUACAGUGUCAUGUCAGAUCAAAUGGAUUUAUGUGGCUGGACUGAAGAGUAUGUGGAGGAGAGGAAUGUGUAAGAAGAACAGAAAGAUAAGAAAGGGCAAUAGUGUAAAGAAUUUUAAAGGCCAAGUUUAUCAUUGAUUCUAGAAGUCAUUUGUGGUUGAAUAAACAGUUGGCAUGUUAAAACCCCAUAUUAAGAUCCCCUUGAUAGCUCUAUAGAUGGAAUGGAAUUCAGACACUAGUCCAUGUGAAAGGUGAUAGUGAACUAAGGUGAUAGUGGUAAGAGGAUAGAGAAAAGACAGAACAGAUCAAAGGCAUUAUAGAAAUAGAUAUGGCAAAAUUUGUGCACCUGAUUGAAUAGGUAAAUAGAGCACUUCCUUCCUCCACUUUCUGGGGUAAUGCAGUGGGUUCACAGGCAGCUUGAAGGUGCAGUUUGGGCAUGUAAUCUCUAAAAGGUUCAAUAGUGCUGUCUUAGAUCUUUGCA